UGGGGUGGUGGCUCCACGGGGUGGUGGUACCAUGGGGACAUCAUGGUGGUGGCACUUUGGGGUGGUGGCACCAUGGGGACAUCAUGUCGGUGGUGGCACCGUGGGGUGGUGGCACUUUGGAGUGGUGGUUCCAUGGGGUGCUGGCUCCACGGGAUGGUGGCAUCAUGGGAACAUCACGCCGGUGUGGCACCGUGGGGACAUGUUGGUGGUGGCACUUUGUGGUGGUGGCAUCAUGGGGACAUCACGGCGGCGGUGGCACCGUGGGGUGGUGGCACUAUGGGGUGGUGGUUCCAUGGGGUGCUGGCUCCACGGGGUGGUGGCAUCAUGGGGACAUCACAUUGGUGAUGGCACUUUGGGAUGGUGGCACCAUGGGGAUAUCCCGCCAGUGGUGGAACUGCAGGUUGGUGGCUCCUCAGGGUGCUGGCAUCAUGGGGACAUCACGUCGGUGGUGGCACCAUGGGGUGGUGGCACUUUGGGGUGGUGGCUCUGCAGGGUGGUGGCACCAUGAAGACAUCACAUUGGUGGGGGCACCGUGGGGUGGUGGCAUCAUGAGGACAUCACAUCAGUGGUGGCACUUUGGGGUGCUGGCACCGUGGGGACAUCCCAGCAGUGGUGGAACUGCAGGUUGGUGGCUCCUCAGGGUGCUGGCAUCAUGGGGACAUCACAUCGGUGGUGGCACUUUGGGUUGGUGGCUCCGCAGGGUGGUGGCACCAUGAGGACAUCACAUUGGUGGGGGCACCGUGGGGUGGUGGCAUCUUGGGGACAUCAUGCUGGUGGUGGCACUUUGGGCUGGUGGCUCUGAGGUGACAUCCCACCAGCGGUGUCACCUUGGGGUGGUUUGGUGGCCCUCUGGGGUGGUGGCUUCAUGGGGUGGUGACACCGUGGGGACAUCCCACCAGUGAUGGCUCCGUGGGGUGGUGGCACUUUGAGGGUGACAGCCCAUCCAGGGACAUGUCCUGGCCACGGUGACAUCCCCAGCGAUGGUGGCGGUGCCAUCCCCGUGCGGGGUGACACCCAGAGGCAGGGCGGUGUCCUGCCUGGGACAAUGGCCCCACUGGGGACAUCCCAUGGGAGGUGACGUCCCCAACCAUGAAGAUGUCCCGGUGCAGGGUGACGUCCCCAACUGGGGUGA
rnacentral:lncRNA from 1 species